CUUGGUCAUUUAGAGGNAGUAAAAGUCGUAACAAGGUUUCCGUAGGUGAACCUGCGGAAGGAUCAUUAUCGAAAUUAUUGGUGAGGGUUGUAGCUGGCCUUUCGAGGCAUGUGCACGCUCGAGCCCUUAAUCCACUUUACACCUGUGCACUUAAUGUAGGUCGCCCUUAAAAAAGGUGACCUAUGUCUUAUCAUCAACCCAUCGUAUGUCUCAUAGAAUGUAAUCGAUAUCCUCGCCCUAAAAAAGCGUUGAUAAACUUAUACAACUUUCAACAACGGAUCUCUUGGCUCUCGCAUCGAUGAAGAACGCAGCGAAAUGCGAUAAGUAAUGUGAAUUGCAGAUUUUCAGUGAAUCAUCGAAUCUUUGAACGCACCUUGCGCUCCUUGGUAUUCCGAGGAGCAUGCCUGUUUGAGUGUCAUUAAAUUCUCAACUCCAAGGGUUUCACGACCUUUCGGAGAUUGGACUUGGAGGUGCUGGCCGCAUAUUGGUCGGCUCCUCUCAAAUGCAUCAGCGGAAUUCAACCUUUGGCUUCCGGAUGUCAGUGUGAUAAUCAUGUUGCGCUGUCGUUUGAUCCCUCAGAGUCCGCUUAUAAUGGUCUUCGGACAAAAUCAUCAUCAAAUUUGACCUCAAAUCAGGUAGGACUACCCGCUGAACUUAAGCAUAUCAAUAAGCGGAG
rnacentral:rRNA from 1 species